GGGCAGUUAGCUCAGCGGUAGAGCGUUCGCCUCACACGCGAAAGGUCACAGGUUCAAGCCCUGUACUGCCCA
rnacentral:tRNA from 1 species